GUCUCGCUCAAUAUUGAAGUCUCCACUUAAUAUUUUGACAUAUUGGGCUCAGUAGAAUCCAAUAUAUUAUAUUAUACUCCACCGUAUAUGAGCUAUAUAGCAAUCUAAUUGGUCGAGUUACUCGCCGUAUAUCAGCUCAUGUACGGCGAGUAGCCAAACACAAGAUGGCGGCAAAAAAACUUACAAGAGUUUUGCGAACGAGAAAAAAGGAAAAAAUU